rnacentral:misc_RNA from 1 species
UUGGGAGCAGAAAGAGAUAAUAAGUCGGGAUGAACACAUGAAGCUUCAAACUCAGGUGUUCUUUGCUUCCAUUGACCAGCGCAGUGAACGAGCUGCUGGAGAAAGUGCAUGCACAGCCCUUGUGGCUGUGGUUGCUGAUUGGUUGCAGCACAAUCGCGGUCUCAUGCCAAUUAAAUCACAGUUUGAUAGCUUAAUUAGAGAAGGUUCAUUAGAAUGGAGGAAACUUUGUGAAAAUGAGACAUACAGGGAACGGUUCCCUGACAAACACUUUGAUCUGGAGACGGUCCUUCAAGCCAAAAUUCGCUCCAUAACUGUCAUGCCG